rnacentral:rRNA from 1 species
UCUUGGUCAUUUAGAGGAAGUAAAAGUCGUAANAAGGUUUCCGUAGGUGAACCUGCGGAAGGAUCAUUAAAGAAAUUUAAUAAUUUUGAAAAUGGAUUUUUUUGUUUUGGCAAGAGCAUGAGAGCUUUUACUGGGCAAGAAGACAAGAGAUGGAGAGUCCAGCCGGGCCUGCGCUUAAGUGCGCGGUCUUGCUAGGCUUGUAAGUUUCUUUCUUGCUAUUCCAAACGGUGAGAGAUUUCUGUGCUUUUGUUAUAGGACAAUUAAAACCGUUUCAAUACAACACACUGUGGAGUUUUCAUAUCUUUGCAACUUUUUCUUUGGGCAUUCGAGCAAUCGGGGCCCAGAGGUAACGAACACAAACAAUUUUAUCUAUUCAUUAAAUUUUUGUCAAAAACAAGAAUUUUCGUAACUGGAAAUUUUAAAAUAUUAAAAACUUUCAACAACGGAUCUCUUGGUUCUCGCAUCGAUGAAGAACGCAGCGAAAUGCGAUACGUAAUGUGAAUUGCAGAAUUCCGUGAAUCAUCGAAUCUUUGAACGCACAUUGCGCCCCUUGGUAUUCCAGGGGGCAUGCCUGUUUGAGCGUCAUUUCCUUCUCAAACAUUCUGUUUGGUAGUGAGUGAUACUCUUUGGAGUUAACUUGAAAUUGCUGGCCUUUUCAUUGGAUGUUUUUUUUCCAAAGAGAGGUUUCUCUGCGUGCUUGAGGUAUAAUGCAAGUACGGUCGUUUUAGGUUUUACCAACUGCGGCUAAUCUUUUUUUAUAUUGAGCGUAUUGGAACGUUAUCGAUAAGAAGAGAGCGUCUAGGCGAACAAUGUUCUUAAAGUUUGACCUCAAAUCAGGUAGGAGUACCCGCUGAACUUAAGCAUAUCAAUAAGCGGAGGAA